CUUAAAUUAUAAUUUGAAUAGAAUAUUCUAGUUUCAUAAUUUGUACAUGUUUAUAUAACGUAAGAGUAAGAGAUGAAAGUUGGUGUUUGUAAAUGAAAUUACAUAUUUCUACCUAGCCUUCACUUUAUGUAGGCCAUACGCUUUUCAGAUUUAUGGGUAAAAGCUAUACAUAUCAGUGAGAAGCUAAGAUCAUGAUUAGGAUUAUAUUAUAACUCCAAAAUACAAUAUUUGUAGUAGUGUGAUUUGAGACUUGCUGAAAAGGACUGAAAGUUUUCCCAUAACUAGCUGUCUCAGAGCCGUACUUCUCUGUCAAUGGAGGUGUAUACAAUGGUUCAGAAGACCUUCACGAAAAGGCAGAUGCAAAAAUAGUUGGUGCCGAGGAGUAUCUUAAUUUAUCUUUAAUCGAGGAGAAAAUUAUUUUAAGCAUCAAAGCCAGGCCACUGACAGGAGAAAAAGACUUUUAAUAUGGAAUUGUCAAGUUUAAAAAAAGGUGGUAAAAAUUUCUCUAUCUCUAUAAGUUGUUUUGCUUUAAUAAACCUAAUAAUAAUAUGGAACUUUGGUUAUGAAAUUGGUAAAUCUGCAGGGUCUUUUCGAAUUGCUACUCUUCGGCUAUAUUUUAAAAAAUAGUUUGCAUGUUAUUAAAUACUUAAGAAAUUGAAGGACAAAAAAUUUUAUUUGCAUGAAGAUUAUUUAUGAUUAAUUAAUAAUAAAGAUACAGCAGUUAUUAUUUAUAAUUUAUCAGUGAGGAAAACUUGAUUCAAUUAAAAAUUGAUUUAUGUACAACACUUUAGGGUUGUAGCUAUUAGGGAAAGCAAGAGACAGAAGACAUUUAUAUUAACAAUAUAAAUCUGUAAUCCCAUUUCAGAAAUUGUCUUUUUUUUGUUAAAAUCACGUUAUGUUUUGUCACCUGAUUUUCAAGUAUUCUACAGGCGAGGUUUUGCCAAAUUGUCCCUCCUAGUGCUAGAAGGAAACUUGAAGGCAAUAUGAUACAGUAAAAAGAGUAUGGAGGUGAAUGGACUUGCAUUAAAUUUUGGUUUAGUUUCUUGCUUUGUGUUUUCAGGUAUAUUACUUUAUAUCUCUGAAACUCAGAUGUUGUAUCUGUAAAAGGGUGUUCUACUCUCUACCUUUAGAGUUAUUGUGAGGAUGGGGAAAUGUAUAUAAAAUGAGCAUACUUUGUCAAUGUGUUUUUAAGAGCAUGCCAUGUAAAACUCAUCACAUCCAUACCGAUGUCUCUCCUCCAAUGCAAACGGUACGGUGAGAAUGUUAACAUCUUUAUAUGGUGUACUGUAGUUCUAUUUAUAAUGCUUGAUUUGCAUUUUUAUCAAACAUGCCACAUAUUGCCCAUUCUGACAGGAAUUAUUGUUAGUCUGGCCUUCCCAUACUUACCCAUGUAGUUGAUUUUUUUAAAAACUCAAUUUCAGGACUUUAUGCUUAUUUUAUUGUAUUUUAAUCUUACCAAUAAAUGUCUUAUAAGUAUUAA